ACGGGUGCGUAACGCGUGGGAAUCUGCCCUUUGCUUCGGAAUAACAGUUAGAAAUGACUGCUAAUACCGGAUGAUGUCUUCGGACCAAAGAUUUAUCGGCAAAGGAUGAGCCCGCGUAGGAUUAGCUAGUUGGUGGGGUAAUGGCCUACCAAGGCGACGAUCCUUAGCUGGUCUGAGAGGAUGAUCAGCCACACUGGGACUGAGACACGGCCCAGACUCCUACGGGAGGCAGCAGUGGGGAAUAUUGGACAAUGGGCGAAAGCCUGAUCCAGCAAUGCCGCGUGAGUGAUGAAGGCCUUAGGGUUGUAAAGCUCUUUUACCAGGGAUAAUAAUGACAGUACCUGGAGAAUAAGCUCCGGCUAACUCCGUGCCAGCAGCCGCGGUAAUACGGAGGGAGCUAGCGUUGUUCGGAAUUACUGGGCGUAAAGCGCACGUAGGCGGCUACUCAAGUCAGAGGUGAAAGCCCGGGGCUCAACCCCGGAACUGCCUUUGAAACUAGGUAGCUAGAAUCUUGGAGAGGUCAGUGGAAUUCCGAGUGUAGAGGUGAAAUUCGUAGA
rnacentral:rRNA from 1 species